rnacentral:rRNA from 1 species
UACAGAGGGUGCAAGCGUUGUUCGGAGUUACUGGGCGUAAAGGGUGCGUAGGCGGCUUCUUAAGUCUGGUGUGAAAUCUCCCGGCUCAACUGGGAGGGUGCGCCGAAUACUGAGAGGCUAGAGUGUGGGAGAGGAAAGUGGAAUUCCUGGUGUAGCGGUGAAAUGCGUAGAUAUCAGGAGGAACACCUGCGGUGUAGACGGCUUUCUGGACCAUAGCUGACGCUGAGACACGAAAGCGUGGGUAGCAAACAGG